rnacentral:rRNA from 1 species
GAUGAACGCUGGCGGCGUGCUUAACACAUGCAAGUCGAACGAAGCACCCUAUUUGAUUUCCUUCGGGACUGAUUCUUUUGUGACUGAGUGGCGGACGGGUGCGUAACGCGUGGGUAACCUGCCUUGUACAGGGGGAUAACAGUUGGAAAUGGCUGCUAAUACUGCAUAAGCGCACGGCAUCGCAUGAUGCAGUGUGAAAAACUCUGGGGGCAUAGGAUGGACGCGCGUUGGAUUAGCUGGUUGGUGGGGUAACGGCCCAGCAAGGCGACGAUCCAUAGCCGACAUGGGAACGGGACCGGCCACAAUUGGGCUGAGGCACAGACCAAUCUCGUACGGGAGAGAGCAGAGGAGAGUAUUACACGAUGGACGAUGGCGUAAUACAGCGACGCGGCGUAUGCGGAGAAGUAUGUCGGAAUGUAAAGCUGUAUGAGCAGGAGAGAUAGUGACGGUACCUGACAAAGAAGCACCGGCUAAAUACGUG